rnacentral:rRNA from 1 species
GAUGAACGCUGGCGGCGUGCCUAAUACAUGCAAGUCGAGCGAACAGACGAGGAGCUUGCUCCUCUGACGUUAGCGGCGGACGGGUGAGUAACACGUGGAUAACCUACCUAUAAGACUGGGAUAACUUCGGGAAACCGGAGCUAAUACCGGAUAAUAUAUUGAACCGCAUGGUUCAAUAGUGAAAGACGGUUUUGCUGUCACUUAUAGAUGGAUCCGCGCCGCAUUAGCUAGUUGGUAAGGUAACGGCUUACCAAGGCAACGAUGCGUAGCCGACCUGAGAGGGUGAUCGGCCACACUGGAACUGAGACACGGUCCAGACUCCUACGGGAGGCAGCAGUAGGGAAUCUUCCGCAAUGGGCGAAAGCCUGACGGAGCAACGCCGCGUGAGUGAUGAAGGUCUUCGGAUCGUAAAACGCUGUUAUUAGGGAAGAACAAAUGUGUAAGUAACUAUGCACGUCUUGACGGUACCUAAACAGAAAGCCACGGCUAACUACGU